rnacentral:rRNA from 1 species
UGGUGGAGUGAUUUGUCUGGUUAAUUCCGUUAACGAACGAGACUUUGACCUACUAAAUAGAUGUUAUAGUUUUAUGCUAUAACUGUUCUUCUUAGAGGGACUUUUGCGUGUUUAACGCAAGGAAGUUCAAAGCAAUAACA